CGUGUGUUCGUUCCGUCAUCGUUUGCGGCAAGCGAAAGAACCUGUUGAAGUGCCUCAUAACGCGUACCAGGAACCCGGAAUUGGACCUCGCGAAACAACCCGGCCUUGGUUCUGGGACUGCUGAGUGAGACGUUCCUGGAAGCCCGCCAGAUCUUCUGUUCAGUGUUUGAACAGCAACGACCUGUUCAUCGACGUUCGGCGAUUGUUUAUGCUACAUACGAAAAAUAUUUGAUUUGGAUGGAAAUUGUCUUAAGUGGUCAGCGUGGUAGCGUCUCACCCCAGUAAGGCCUGGGUUCAAUCCCAGACGGACCCGGUGGCAUUUGCCUGAUCACGUCAGUCCA
rnacentral:lncRNA from 1 species